GUUAUACUCUAUAUAUACUUUUGUAUGUGUGUUUUUAUACACAUUAUUUUAUCAGACAAUGUAAUUAUAUUUAAGUACUAGAAGUUAGAAUAUUUUAAAAUGCAUAAUCUUGCAUUCAGAAAAAAAUAAAUAAAAAAAUAUACACACAAUAGACGAAGUUGUAAAAUGCAGGAUAAACCGUGUAAUUAGUUUUCAAUUUUUAAUGAAUCCUGUGAAGUCGCUGUAAUGUCAUAUCGUCCAUUGGAUGGAAUACCUACCAGACAAGUAAUAGGGAAAACCGCAUUUCCCCUUCAUUGAUUUUUUAGUAAAGAGCUUUGUAAAACCCUUCCUUUAGAGACAUACGUCUUGUUUACUGUAUGUUGGCAAAUGUCCAAUUGACAUAUGUUUUGUGUUAAUUUUUUUAGGGAACAAAGAAAACAGAAGUAAUAAAAUAAUAGUUAAAAAAUACAUACUUAAUAUAUCAAUUAAUUGGUAACAAAAAAUUAUUCAACCUUAAAUUAAAACCUUUUUGACUGGACAUUUCUUCUCCUCCAACUAUUUGAAAAACAAAACAAUUACUUCUUUCACCAACACAAUCGUAAAGGACUGAAGGUUUUACAUCGAUGUACGAGUAGGCGCCAAGUUUUGAAGGACGGUUCGCAUCCACAUUUAUGCCAUUGUGCCAAGGCCAAUAGCAACGGAGCUAUUAACAUAACAUGCUUUAGACCGGCGUCCAUGCUUUUAAUGUACCAAUGUAAACAGCAUCUAUAAACGGGACAGCAUAGAGGAAGAGAUUAUUAGUAACAGAGACAAGCAAUGGGGUCGCCAUUGCUAGCAAUAUACUCCCGUCAAGUCAACCUCCAUCGCUUCUAGAAAUCAUCGUGGCGAAUUCUUAAUGAAUUCGUAAGGAUAGUCCAACUGACUUGCUUUCAUUCUCAUCUGUCUUUCCUUACCGAUGGUUCACCAGCAUGUACUGAUGGCAGGCGAAGUUACCAAUUCAUUAUUAUUCAUUAAAAAAAAUUAUUAGCGUA